rnacentral:rRNA from 1 species
GUCCACGCCGUAAACUAUGGGUGCUAGCCGUCGGUCGGCAUGCCGGUCGGUGGCGCAGCAAACGCAUUAAGCACCCCGCCUGGGGAGUACGGUCGCAAGAUUAAAACUAAAAGGAAUUGACGGGGGCCCGCACAAGCGGUGGAGCAUGUGGUUUAAUUCGAGGCAACGCGAAGAACCUUACCAGCCCUUGACUUCCCGAUCGGGGCUCCGGAGACGGAGCUCUUCAAUUGGUCGGUGACAGGUGCUGCAUGGCUGUCGU